rnacentral:rRNA from 1 species
CCUACGGGGGGCAGCAGUGAGGAAUAUUGGUCAAUGGGCGGUAGCCUGAACCAGCCAAGUAGCGUGAAGGAUGAAGGUUCUAUGGAUUGUAAACUUCUUUUAUAAAGGAAUAAAGUGAGGCACGUGUGCCUUUUUGUAUGUACUUUAUGAAUAAGGAUCGGCUAACUCCGUGCCAGCAGCCGCGGUAAUACGGAGGAUCCGAGCGUUAUCCGGAUUUAUUGGGUUUAAAGGGAGCGUAGAUGGGUUGUUAAGUCAGUUGUGAAAGUUUGCGGCUCAACCGUAAAAUUGCAAUUGAUACUGGCGUC